CGGUGGAGUAUGUGGUUAAUUCGAUGCAACGCGAAGAACCUUACCUGGUCUUGACAUCCCGGAGACCCUUAGGAAACUAGGGGUGCUUCCAUCUGGAAGAAUCUGGAGACAGGUGCUGCAUGGCUGUCGCCAGCUCGUGUCGUGAGAUGUUGGGUUAAGUCCCGCAACGAGCGCAACCCUUGCCUUUAGUUGCCAGCAGUUCGGCUGGGCACUCUAAAGGGACUGCCGGUGUUAAACCGGAGGAAGGUGGGGAUGACGUCAAGUCCUCAUGGCCUUUAUGACCAGGGCUACACACGUACUACAAUGGCCGAUACAAAGGGCAGCGACACUGCGAGGUGAAGCCAAUCCCGUAAAAUCGGUCUCAGUCCGGAUUGGAGUCUGCAACUCGACUCCAUGAAGUUGGAAUCGCUAGUAAUCGUGGAUCAGCAUGCCACGGUGAAUACGUUCCCGGGCCUU
rnacentral:rRNA from 1 species